rnacentral:misc_RNA from 1 species
GCAUUAGAAGCCAUUUGUAGUUUUCUAGAUGCGCGUACUCGAGAACUGGAGACCGAUGCUUAUCCUGCUUUAGAUGAGCUGACCUCCAAGAUUAGCAGUCGUAAUCUCGAUCGGGUGCGUAAACUGAAGAGUUCCAUGACAAGGUUGACAAAUCGUGUUCAAAAGGUAAGGGAUGAACUUGAGCAACUUCUGGAUGAUGAUGAUGAUAUGGCAGACCUUUACUUAUCAAGAAAAUUAGCUGGCUUAUCUUCACCUGUCAGUGGCUCUGGUGCCCCCAAUUGGUUUCUUAACUCUCCUACCAUAGGUUCAAAGAUAUCCAGAACAAGUAGGGCCAGUGCAACAACAAUGCAAGGGGAGAACGAUGUUGAAGACCUUGAAAUGUUGCUUGAGGCUUACUUCAUGCAGAUAGAUGGCACAUUGAACAAAUUGACUACGUUGCGUGAAUACAUUGACGACACAGAGGACUACAUCAAUAUCCAGCUUGAUAAUCAUAGGAAUCAACUAAUUCAGCUAGAGCUCUUACUAUGUUCAGGGACUGUGUGUUUGUCUGUGUAUUCCCUAGUGGCAGCAAUUUUUGGCAUGAAUUUACAAUACACAUGGAGGGAGGGCC